GAUUUCAAUUUUGUUAUUUCCUCUAUAUAUUCACUGUUUCCAAGACAAUUUCUGCUGUUUUUUCGACCUUGUUGCUCACCGCUCCUUACUAAUAUAUUCAAGAAAAUAUUUUCAUCGUUAUUUUAAAAAAGUUCCCUUACCCCCAAAUUGCAAUAUUUUUUCCUUUAACCAGCAGGUUGAACACAGAUUUAAAAAGAAAGUUACUAGUGUUAGUUAGAAAGUUUAUCAGUCAUUAAUUUUAUUUCCUUUCUUGUUAAUUAACAGAUAGAUGUUUGACUGUACUACAUUCUCUGCAUGCAAAACCCCUUCUAUUUUUCUCAACUAAUUCAUUAACUUUCUUUCCCUCUGAAGCCCAAAGUCACACUUUAGUCUUGCUCAGCCUCUUCCUUCAUCUUACAAAGAAAGAAAAGUGGAAUUAGGGAUAAAAUCCAGAAUCUCCUGCUUCAGAGUUGCCCCUCCCAUAACACCAGUCUGAGUGUAAGAGCAGCAGGACUAAAACCACAGAUUUGAAAAAGCCAGAUACAGCAAGUAGGCAAAAUAACUCAGCACAGAACACCUGUGCCAGAAUAUGCUGGAAAUUUCUGGAAAGUUUUUGUUUUGCAUUUAAUGGCUUAUAUGGCUUUAAACUAAUCUCUUAAUAUUAUUCAUUGUGUAUGAUUAUAUUAAAGUCUUAGCACCUUAAAUCAAUAAUAACAAUAAACCAGCUAGCAGCCUGUUAACACCUUCUUACAAGCUCUUUGUUCCCAUAGCAAAAGAAUAGUGAAAAUAGUAAAAAGUGACUAAUGGAAACCAGAGGCCACAUUACCCCUGUGGUACUGCCAGACGUGCUGGAGCAGAGUGCAGCACAGAAAAAAGUCUAGCAGGAAACAUCCAACCAGCUUCCACCAGAGCUGUGAGAAGAGUGACCCAAGAGUUGGCAGAGUGGCAAGAAGGCCUCAGGACCAGGCUCACUCCUCAGGGAGUUGAAAAAUGGAUGAGAAUUCAGAGGCUUUUGCAAGGUAACAUAAUGAACAGCAGCACAAAGCUAAGAUACAUCACAUUAGUGUGGCUUCCAAGAAAGAUUACAGACCCAAUAGUCCAGAUACUUCCAUGUAAGAACAUCACAGCCAAAAAAGGCUUAAUCUGACCUUUUAAUGAGCACUUAGCAGGGAAUUCCUUUGUAUAUACAGAGGCCUGAGACAGAAAAAUGGAUACAGAAAUGCAUGUGGAUGCCUGGUUCUUCUGUAGAGCUUUAAUUGUUUUGCAUGUUAGAAUCUUCCCAACUGUAUCAGGAAGAAGGGAUCUGCUCUUACUUUUUCUAGAAAGCUAGACAGGAUUUUCUGAAAUCCUAAAGAAGCAAAAUCCACUCCAGUCCUUGUUACUUGCUGCCAUUAAGGGUUGAAACGCAGCAUUUGCCAAGAGUGCAAGUUCCUUUAUUUGAUCCCCUUGACUGUACCAGUAUAACUGCCAAUCACAGGAAAUACCUCUAAUAACUCUUCCUUUUACUUAAUAAGGAAUACCACAUCUUUAAAACAUUAGAAACAGAUGUCACUGCAUUACUUCACUGCUGAUGUAUGUAAUAGAAAUGACACACUAAUUAAUUUAAUGCAGUAUAAAUGUACUGAUUAUUUAUCAUGGCUGACAAUAAAAUUAUGAAAACAUUCA
ensembl:lncRNA